AAAAAAACUGUCCACCACCAUCCCAUCCAAAAUUACCCUCUUCAAAAACGCCAGAGAAAUUGGUCUUCACCUAUAACACCAUCAAAGUUCUCCUCUCCAAACUCAGGGCUAGGUGCUGUUAGUGGUGCUAAAAGAUCAUUGUGAAGAUCAUCAAAACCUGGGAAUAUCCCGUAUUCCGUCAGAUAAUUGCUCGAAUCCAAGAAUGGGGAAUCCAGCAUCCGCCUACUACCAUCCAUUUGUGCUGUCAAAUCUAACACUACCGAAGGACACGGGGACUCCGCUUGCAACUCCGACACAGCCGAUUGAUCCGUAGACGAAGAACUCUCCAAUUGGUUUCUCGGAGGCUUAGAAUUUGCAAACCUCGCAGCAGCUACUUGAAUUUCGGGCGGAGAAAGCGACUGCCCACCCACUAUGUGCGGUGGAUUAUUUGGAAAAUUGAAUUUGGCUGUGCGGCCACGUAAGCAAAAGAGUGCGGCAUCAAAAGCAUGUGCGGCUUUCUCUGCCGAAUCGUACGAUCCUAACCAAAUUCGCUCCCUACUGUUUGGUAGACGGAUUUCGGACACCCACUUCCCCCAUUUACGCUUGCGGACACCUUUGAACUUGGAAUCGCUGCUAUCGGUGGGCUUCUCUGCCAUGUGUUUCACCGUAUGUCAACUGAUACUUGUUAUGAUUCUGAUUUUGUGCUAUGAUGAUUGUUCGAUGCUUUCCAACUGAGGAUAGGAUUUUGCGGCUGUGUAUAUAUAUGUGGGUGAAGGCAGCUGGUGUCUGACUGCGAAGGUCAACACUGAAAGUACGCGUUCAAGCGGGAGCCGCAAAGGCGCGGCAAGGAAGCAAGUUUUUGUUGUUACGCGGGGGUUGGUUUCAGGAGGUAACUUCCUCUCUUUUACUGUUUUCUAUUGGGACCACGCGCGUGUGUUAUUCAUUGCUUUAUGAGUAGAA
rnacentral:misc_RNA from 1 species